CACCGGCAGCCCAAGUGAUGGCCGAUAUUAUUGGGCCUAAAGCGUCCGUAGCUGGCCGAGCAAGUUCGUCGGGAAAUCCACUCGCUUAACGAGUGGGCGUCCGGCGAAAACUGUUCGGCUUGGGACCGGAAGACCUGAAGGGUACGUCUGGGGUAGGAGUGAAAUCCCGUAAUCUUGGACGGACCACCGAUGGCGAAAGCACUUCAGGAGGACGGAUCCGACAGUGAGGGACGAAAGCUAGGGUCUCGAA
rnacentral:rRNA from 1 species